CGCCCGGCUGUGCGUUGGGCGCCCGGCUCUGCUCCGCGGCCGCACCCCGCGGGCUAUGGGUGCUGUGCCCCCCGCACCGCCAUCACGAGGAGCCGACCGAAUCAGAUCCCAGCGCGGCUCUCCGCCUUGUUUUUGGCUGGGCGGCUUGCCGUGGCGACCUGAUGAUGACGGGAAGGGGGUGCCUGGCGUUGCGAGAGCGCAUGGCUGGAAGCGACUCGGGAGAAGCCGGAGGAGGAGAUGGAACAUCCCUCUGAAGGAAAAGAUGUGGCUGCUGUGCUGGGUGCCGUGUGCCAGUGCUGCCCAGCAAAUGCUAAGCACUCAGACUCCUACAGGAAGGGAAGCCCCGCAACAGUUGGAUCCACAGCCCCACUGCUGCCAUCAGAGAGAGCAUUAUUCCAUCCGGGUGCUGCCAGCUGCAAGCAAAUAGACCGCCUUCAGCAUGCAAAUAAUGGACCCACUGUAGGAGCGGGGAGACAGAUGAGGUCUUUAUUCCUGCUCCCAGGCACUGCGUUGCUGAGACCUCUGUCUGUCUGACUGUCUAUCUGUCCGUCCCCCCAGGAACGCUCCGGUGUUUCCUCCUCUGACUCCCAUUGCAAAUCCUGUGGGGUGAGAGGGGGAAACUGAGGCAGGGAGGCAAUGGGAAGUGCGUGUGGGAUGCAUGGCCCCCUGCACCAAAGUCAAACUUCAGGGCAGGUUCAGAAAUGCUGAUCUGAGGGUGCUGAGGGCAGGGACAGGACCCCCAGGCCUUUUCUUUUUGUAGGCCAGUGCCAUGGCUGUUUUCAAGUCAAGGCUGAAUUCACUGGGAUUCAGCUGCCCCAGUCCCUCCUAGUCUGACCAGUUCCUUAAGGCCAGUGCCAAAGUGCAAGCAUCUGGAGUCUCUCAUUGACCUCCUGUGCCACUUAAGUAACUAGUCCUAAUACUGGGGCUUGGAACGAGGUGAUCCAUAAGGUCCCUUCCAACUCAGCUAUUCUGUGAUUCCAUGAUUCUAUGAUUUCCUGAAACCUGACGUAACUCAGCUGCAUAAUAGAGUACCCAGGCAUAAUUCAUGCCUUUCCCAUCCUGAUGAAAAUCUGUGAUGACAUCUUUGUAUUAAAGAGGCCAUAGAAAUGCAAAGCGUGAUGACACAGGUGAG
ensembl:lncRNA